rnacentral:lncRNA from 1 species
UUAAUAAUGAUAAUAUGAAGCUGGCUUUGCUCCAGUGGGUAGAAUUAGCCUAGUGGAGACAAAGUUAAUUUUGAGAAAAUACAAAAGGCAAAUGUUUACCUAUUUUUACUUUAUUAAAAUGUAAUGCACAGAAGCAUAUUUUUUAGAGGUGAUAAAUCGAUUUGUUCACAAAGGAAUCUUGGAGAAAGAAAAGUACCACAUUUAAAAAUUAUAUACUGUUCUAUAAUUGCACAAACCAAAUACAUGUUUUAUUUGUAAUUACAUUGGUAAUAUAUGUAAUUACAUGAGAAAACAAGCAAAGCAAACUGUGUUCCAAGUGAACAUAAAUCAACACUUUUUUUCCUUGUUUCCAGUUACUCUGCAGCAUUAAUCUGUCUUGCAGAAGUACAAAUAUCACACAGACAUUGAAAAAAAAAAGCAUUCCUGACCUACCUCAGGCACUUUAACGAUUUCUCAAGCAGGAGAUACUGAUGUUUUGCAGUCUC